CCUACGGGCGGCAGCAGUAGGGAAUAUUGCUCAAUGGGGGAAACCCUGAAGCAGCAACGCCGCGUGGAGGAUGAAGGUUUUCGGAUUGUAAACUCCUUUUGUUAGAGAAGAUAAUGACGGUAUCUAAAGAAUAAGCACAGGCUAAUUCCGUGCCAGCAGCCGCGGUAAUACGGAGGGUGCAAGCGUUACUCGGAAUCACUGGGCGUAAAGAGGGCGCAGGCGGGAUAGCAAGUCAGAUGUGAAAUCCUAUGGCUUAACAAUAGCACUGCAUUUGAAACUGUUAUACUAGAGGAUGGGAGAGGUAGGUGGAAUUCUUGGUGUAGGGGUAAAAUCCGUAGAGAUCACGAAGAAUACUCAUUGCGAAGGCGACCUGCUAGAACAUAACUGACGCUGAUGCGCGAAAGCGUGGGGAGCAAACAGGAUUAGAUACCCCUGUAGUC
rnacentral:rRNA from 1 species